GAGAGUCCAGUUUUAAAAUAGAUCAGAGAAGGAUUCACAGAGAAGGUGACAUUUGAGCAAACACUUGAAGAAAGUGAGGGAUUGGGCUGUGAGGGUCUCUGGGGGAAGAAUGUUCCACAGGAGAUAGCUAGUGCAAAGGCCCCGAGGUAGAGGAAGCCUGAUGUGCUAGAAGCACAGCAAGGAGGCCAGCAUGCCCGGAGCAGGUGGCAGCAGUUGGGUCAGAGGGCUCAUGACUGGCUGAGUUGUGCAAAAUCUUAUAGUCCUGGUGAGGACUUGGGUUUUUGCACUGAGUUAGAAUGGGAAGUCCUUGGAGGGCUGUGAGUCAAGGACUCGUGUUUUGGAAGGGUCACUCUGGCUGCCAUGCCAAGAACAGAAUGAAGCAGGGCACCAGGUUGGGGGCUAGUGUCUCCAGGCAACAGGUGACAGUGGAGUGGACCAGAGACCAGCUGUACAGGUGGUGAGAAGUAGUUGGAUUCUGGACAUAACUUGAAGUAUUCACAGGCCUCUCCUCUUCCUGUUCAGAAGCGAUCUGUUCUAUGGAUAUGCAUCUCUUUCACUCCUCGGGUGGUUCCAGUUGGCGGUGAGGGUCGUGUUCCUGGCAUGUGGACACGUGGAUGUGGCAGCAACUGAUGUUGCCAUGCAGAUCCCUCGGUUGCUAUGAGAUGGUAACGUUACUCUGCCCUGCGAUUGGCCGGAGCCUCCUAAGCUGUGUGGUUCUCACGCGGGCCACUGACAUGGAACUGUUACUAUGGUGAACUUUACAAUUUCCCUUGAUUGGUGGAUUCCAGAACUAGGCCAUCGGUGGAAUUCAUUAUGUUCAGCUAAGUUGCCACUUACUACUUGUGUACUUGAAGAGUGAUGAAACUUUGGCCUUCAAAAAUUGGCCCACUAAGUGUGAAGAUGACAAGGAUGAAGACUUUUAUAAGGAUCCACCUCCACUUAAUGAAUGCAGGGGCUUGCUGAAAACUGACAUUGAAGUUGCUGGCUAGGAUCACAGCUCUGCAAAUUGUUUCUAACAGGUAUGCAGUUAUUCUAAAAGAAGUUGAGCAAGGUCAGCAUGAUGGGCAUUUGUCUGAUAGCCUCUGAGGCUAAUGAAUGUUAUUGUUUACUUCAAGGAGGAAAAAGAGAGGAGGGAUGAAGAUCUGUGAUCUAUAGCCCAGAAAAGUUCUGCUGUUGGCUCUCACCAUAGUUGUUUCU